rnacentral:rRNA from 1 species
UACGUAGGGUGCAAGCGUUGUCCGGAAUUAUUGGGCGUAAAGGGCUCGUAGGCGGUUUGUCGCGUCGGGAGUGAAAACACACAGCUUAACUGUGUGCUGGCUUCCGAUACGGGCAGACUAGAGGUAUGCAGGGGAGAACGGAAUUCCUGGUGUAGCGGUGAAAUGCGCAGAUAUCAGGAGGAACACCGGUGGCGAAGGCGGUUCUCUGGGCAUUACCUGACGCUGAGGAGCGAAAGUGUGGGGAGCGAACAGG